GACUCUCGGCAACGGAUAUCUCGGCUCUUGCAUCGAUGAAGAACGUAGCGAAAUGCGAUACUUGGUGUGAAUUGCAGAAUCCCGUGAACCAUCGAGUCUUUGAACGCAAGUUGCGCCCGAAGUCUUUUAGACCGAGGGCACGUCUGCCUGGGAGUCACACACAG
rnacentral:rRNA from 1 species